rnacentral:rRNA from 1 species
UACGUAGGGUGCAAGCGUUGUCCGGAAUUAUUGGGCGUAAAGAGCUCGUAGGCGGUCUGUCACGUCGGCUGUGAAAACUCGGGGCUCAACCCCGAGCCUGCAGUCGAUACGGGCAGACUAGAGUCCGGCAGGGGAGACUGGAAUUCCUGGUGUAGCGGUGAAAUGCGCAGAUAUCAGGAGGAACACCGGUGGCGAAGGCGGGUCUCUGGGCCGACACUGACGCUGAUGCGCGAAAGCCAGGGGAGCGAACGGG